rfam:Xenopus tropicalis strain Nigerian scaffold_48_contig_5, whole genome shotgun sequence.
AGCUGGUGUUGACAGGCAGAGACAGGAGCAACUGCUGGUGUGCCUUGGUAGCAUUGCACUUGUCUCGGUCUGACAGUGUCGGCA